rnacentral:sRNA from 1 species
GUUCCUAAAUCUGUUACCUUGGGAACGGUGGUUGGAAGUUCAAAGUUCAGAAGUAAAGAACGUGUCCCUGUGCUCUCCUACCUCUACAAAGAGAACAAUGCUGCCAUUUGCCGCUGUAGCCAGCCUCUCUCUGGAUUUUACACUCGCUGUGUAGAUGAUGAGCUCUUGUUGGAGGCCAUUAGCCAAACAAACCCAGGGAGCCAGUUUAUGUAUGUUGUAGACACAAGACCAAAGUUGAAUGCCAUGGCCAACCGAGCAGCUGGGAAGGGGUAUGAAAAUGAAGACAACUAUGCCAACAUUCGCUUCAGAUUCAUGGGCAUUGAGAACAUCCAUGUAAUGCGGAGCAGUCUGCAGAAACUCUUGGAAGGCAGUGAAGGUAGAAAAGGCCAGUGUCUUAGUCCAUUGUUCUGAUGGAUGGGACCGCACAGCACAAGUCUGCUCAGUGGCUAGCAUCCUCCUAGAUCCAUUUUAUAGGACAUUCAAAGGACUCAUGAUCUUGAUAGAGAAGGAAUGGAUAUCCAUGGGCCACAAGUUUUCCCAA